GUCUGCAGGCUCCGCCUCUUCUCCUCCCCCACAGCCCACCUUUUUGAGUUUGUGGCGUAAUGUCCUCCAUCCUGUAUCCUCCCCUGUGAGGUCCCCGUUGUGCCUACAAGUUGUUUGACAAAUUUUCAAGCAGGUCGUUCUCAAAAUUCCAAAUAUGAGGGAGAUGCAGAAGCAACACUACAAGAUCCCAGGUUUCUCCCUCACUCUCUCAAUCUCACUGCCGCUGCUAGGGCUUAGGUCCCGACUCACGUAUUUUCUCUUGUGAGAGAUAGCUCUUGCCGAAGCAGGUCAAGAUAAGAGAAGGCGCAAGUUCAGAAUAGCACUCCACCAGCCUAUGUGAAUUGGCACGCUAGGACUUGGGAAAGCUCAGGUCAGCCGUGCCCACCCUUCCCAAAUUUUCAGAUAAGUUAUUUUUUGUUCAGGUGCAUUUGAUUAAUUUGUUCUAUAUAUGAGUGGAUAUUUAGUUCUGGUAAAAGUAUGAUUUAUUGUUCAUACUGCUCGGGCAGUAUAAGCAGCAGAUUGUGCUUAGCUUUGUUUGUGGCUCGAAAUUUAGAUAGUUGCAUCGGUAAGUUCGGUGUUAUACUGUAAAUGUAUCCAUUUUUCAGAAAUGGUACUGUAGACUGUAUGAUCUGCAUCCAGGUAAAUCCAAUUGGCUAUCAGUUUGAUUUUGUUUUGAUCUUUUUCUAUAGUUCCAUGUUAUGGAUUGUAGGAGGAAUUUUUGGUGAACAUAUGAUUGACGGCGAAGGCCAUGGUAGAGCUUUCGCUUGGGGACUUCGAAUUAGUGUGGCUUUGAUCAGUUCUGUUUCAAACCCGGGGCAAUGAAAUUGUUUGGCUGGUCGAUGGCACAUAUUUUUCCAUGCCACCAAUAGUUAGGUUUGUGGCCGCAUCUGGUUAUUGUUUGGUGUACUGUUUAUCUCUUCCGUUUUGUCGGUCCUCUUCUUCGAAAGGCCUACAGGUUCACUAGUUAUUGUCAGCACCAACGCCAUCGUCCUUGUGUCCAGAACUCCACACGAGCUCCAGAAAUCUAGAGCUAUCCGGCACCUCUGCCCUCUGUACUUUGGAUCAGAGAUUUAGCAUGCCUCGCAAUGCCGGUUCAGCACAAUUGGGUUGAUAUAUGUAACAGAGAGAGGUUGAGGGGGCGCACUGUUGAUUGAGUGUCCUGGUUGAUCAUGUUCUGUUUGAAGUUUUGUUGUUAUGUAGAGGCACCCUCUAUUUUUUUGAAGUCGACGAGUAAAAAGUUCCAAAAUACAAUUGAGGCAUGUUCGGUCGGUAAUAAAGUAUGAGUUAUCUAUCUUCUUAUUUACUUGACAAAGUCAUAAGCGUGUGUUACCUUGUGGGUAGAGGGAUGCUGGACUCGCUAGCUAGAGGCGUCAAGACAUUGAAGACAAAAACUUUAGAAGUUCGUAGCUGACGGAGAGGCGGAGAGCUGAGCAAGGAUAAAUUGGUGGCAUUCCAAGUGCCUCCUUGCAUUCCUCAAGCUGGUGAUGCUGCUCAUGCUGACAUAUGUGCCCAGUUGUUUGUAAAGGACAUUGCAGGUUGUCAAUGAAGCGACUGUGUCGGUUGAUGGAUAUCAUGCUGGUAGACGAGAGGCGGUUAGGAAAGCAGCAUCGAGUCUAAAUUUGUAAGGGAGCCUGCCCGCUGACAUGACCAUCUUCAGUGAAGCAUGCCUCCUCCCUAAAAAAACCAUGCAGGCUCAGUUAUUCAUUCUUUGCUUCUAUUGUAGUUUUGUUCUACCACUUCCUACAACAAAUAAAAAAUCCAGAGAAAGAAAGUAAUCAUUUUUUUACAAACUGUACAUGUAUACCCAUUUAAAAUAUUUUCAAGAUGAGGCUAUUGCUUUGUACUCCAUUUUCUGAAUAAUAAUCUCAUCCACAAUAUUAUCAUCAUAUUGUAGCUUCUUACGAGUUUCAUGGCUUUUCUCCAUAGCAGCAUUGAUGUUUGUGCAUGCCCUCGAUGGAUUUAUCAUAACGUAAAGUUACGUUAUUCUCAAGUCUCUACCAAUAUGUUCUGUAAAUAUUGCCUGCGGAUUUAUAUUCUUCUUAUCAUCCUGGUCUCAUCUUUGGUGUAUUGUAGGAAUAACUCACGAUUGAAUUCUUCUUGAUAUGUGGAAUUCUUUGGUGCCAUUAUUUAUUUUUGUUUUUAUGGUCAUACCUACAAUAAUAGCUAAUGAAAUUGUUUUCUUUGCAUUUAUAUUGCUGAGUUGCUUGCUGAUGUGCAAAACUUAGUUCGGUUUCAACUAUUUCCAUUUUGUGCCAGGCUUAUAAACUAAGAUUUGUUUUCUUUUCUAUUUUUUUUAGUUUUGUAUAUCCGAUGAUACAUAUUUAUGUAAAGUUAUAAUAACAGUUGUAUAUAUAUAUAUGUGUUGCCCACCAUGGUGCAACAGUCGCUCGAUCUGCUACUUUUAGCUAGCCUGGCUCUUCAUCAUGAUAAAUUGAUAUUCUUUUUAGACUGUCAUGUCUGGACUUUUUCAAAUGAUGUAAAAGAACUUGCUAAUCAAAUUGAUGGUUCAGGCAAACUAAAGCGGCAUAUUUUCCGAACAUAGGUUGGUAUGUCUUUGUAAGCGUGGAGAGACUUGUUAAAAUUUUAUGCCCUCUUUAUCUGGUGCUCUUAGUCAGUAACUAUUGUUAUUGUUCUAACUGAGGCACUUUAUAAAAUAUACACACAUGGUUGGAAUAUCAUGUCUGGACUUUUUAAAAUAAUGUAAAAGAACUUGCAAAUCAAAAUUGCUGGUUUACAGUGGGCAAACUGAAGUGACAUUUUCUCAACACAAGUUGGACUGUCAUUGUAAGUGUGAAGAAGGCUGGCUAUUGAGAGUUUAUGUAUUCUUUAUCUGGUGCUCUUCAAUUUUUCUAUUCAAAAUAAUCAGUCACCGAGAGCAGCACAGUGAAUAAUAUACGCAUGGUUUGUUGUAUUUCACUCUUAUCUCUGUACAUCCUUAGCUGCUAUUGUUUGUGCGCCUCUGGGUUCAGAUGAUAACAUUUUAGACAUAAAAUUACUAACAUCUAUUUUUCUGUCAUUUGUUGUUGAUCUAAUAUACUGGGACCACUAGAUAUGGGUGGAGCACGCCCAUGUGCUCUAUACGGUGAUUAUCCCGAAUGUCAGCGUUCUAGGUAAACAAAAUUACUCUGAGAAAUCUUAGUUCUAUAUUUGGCCGAGCAAAAAUAGAUGAAUGGUAUGAUUACCUUUUUAAUUCAUUAUCUACUGCAAUUGCCAAACAAGUAUUCCUUUCAGUGUCUCAUAAAUAACUACCCUAAACCCUAAACUUUGAACAGGUGAAUACUGGUUAUUAGUCAGCUUUUACUAUUGGUUUUGGAUGUGCACUUCUGUUAUACUGUAAGAGUGCUGGCUUUCACUCCUAAUCGCCAGUGGUUUGGUGCCUCUUAUACACUGGAAAUCAGCUAAGCCACAUCCUACUUUCCUACUAUACGAGUCAUGCAUGUGCAGACAACCUAAUUGCUCUAAUGAGGAAGUGUAUCUCAAGUCUGUUUAGAAAUCCUUGCAAAGACUGUUCUUCUACUGAUGUGCUUCCCUGUGUGUCUUCCAGGUAAUCAAUUAAAUCUUAUAGCAAUGAACGGAACCAAUGAGGCUGGAUUUAUGCUUUGUGAAGGGAGGGGAGAACAGGCCAUCAGAUCCCAAGGCUUACUGCAAGGAAAUGGCCACAAAAGAAGCUGCGCUGCAACUCCGUAGUUACUCAUACUCCUUAUGAACUGAGUUGUAUCCUUUACUCCUCUUGCUUCAUUGCAUCUUUAUAACAAUCUCCUGCCCGAUUGACAAUGGUCUCACCGGGUUAUAUGGAAGGCAAGAUACCCAAAGUUUGUAGUGCUACUUGAGACCAAAUAUUGAGCUAUAGUUGAAACACCUGUGAUAUACCCAAUCGAACCCAAGAAGCAUACAUCCAUGCCAUAUAAUAUAAUUAUUUUAGAUCAUAUAUAUCAAUUUAGCUCAGGACGGUGCACAUGGUAUCUUUCCAACUGAAGUUUACACUAUUACAUGAUUAGACCUAAAUUUAAUUAAUUAUAAUCAUCCUGGUCUUAAAAUACCAUUAGUAUGUGUAAGGUAAGAAAAAAUAGUGCCAGCUUCUCAAUGUUUAUACUAAAGAUGAUAUUUCCAAAAAAUCUUUUUGUGCCAAUGAGGCGAAAUCUCCUGUAUGAAUUCGCUUCUCAUUUCAUUUUGUUGGGUAGAUAGCGCCCGCUUACAUAUGAAAAAUAAUGUUAUUUAUGUACUGAGAGUUCGUUUGUAUUACACACGAUCACUCAAGCUUGCAAUGCUGGCAAAAAUACCAUGACCAGAUCAUUCUCCAAGGGGGCAUUGCUAAACGAUGCCUGAUAUGGUAGCAAGGCUACAUCUGAACUCGGUGCUUCCUAAAAAAUAUCUGAAAGUUAGUAAAAUGCUCACUGUACUUUUCUUUGGUUGUCACUACUUGCUGAUGCAUACUGUUAUCCGUUAUAAUUUCUGGCUGAUUGUUCUUUUGGACUGAUUUUGCACUAUCCGUUACACUUUGUUGAAGCCUGUGACUCUCAAGCCCCAUAAGUGACCUUCAACCUAUCUACAUAGCAAUAGCAUGAGGAUGUCCUUGGUACCGUAACAGUGCAUCCACUACCUGACGAUGACGAUGCUCUGAUCGAGUAGAGAGAUCAUAAGUUGAUUGUGCUUUGUACAAGAGUUUUCUACUUUUAGGUGAAAGGCUUUAUAUUGAGGCCGGAAUGUUUUCCUUGAAUCAAGAACUAUUGUGUGACAUUGAUCUACAUCUUUGCCAUGGAUUUCUUGGCCACAUUGAUAUGUUACUUACUGGUUCAUUAGUAUUAUUAUACAUCCCAGCUUACUAUGGAUCA